rnacentral:rRNA from 1 species
GACGAACGCUGGCGGCGUGCCUAACACAUGCAAGUCGAACGAAGCAUUUGAGUGGAUCCCUUCGGGGUGAAGCUUUUAUGACUUAGUGGCGGACGGGUGAGUAACGCGUGAGUAACCUGCCUUUCAGAGGGGGAUAACAGUUGGAAACGACUGCUAAUACCGCAUAACGUAUUUUUAUCGCAUGAUAGAAAUACCAAAGCUGAGGCGCUGAAAGAUGGACUCGCGUCUGAUUAGAUAGUUGGUGGGUAACGCCUACCAAGUCGACGAUCAGUAGCCGAACUGAGAGGUUGAUCGGCCACAUUGGGACUGAGACACGGCCCCAGACUCCUACGGGAGGCAGCAGUGGGAAUAUUGCGCAAUGGGGGCAAACCCCGUGAACGGCCAGCAACGCCGCGUUGAGUGAUGAAGGUUUUUCGGACCGUUAAAGCUCUUUGUUAUGCGAAUGUGCAUGAUGUG